rnacentral:tRNA from 1 species
GGUCCGGUAGCUCAGCUGAAUAGAGCAACUGCCUUCUAAGCAGUAGGUCACUGGUUUGAAUCCAGUCCGGAUCACAA